AGUUUGAUCCUGGCUCAGGAUGAACAGCUGGCGGCGUGCUUAACGCAUGCAAGUCAAACCAUGACUUUUGUGCUUGCACAAAAUGAUUAGUGGCCAACGGGUGAGUAACACAUGAGUAACCUGCCCUUAACUUCGGGAUAAGCCUGGGAAACCGGGUCUAAUACCGAGAUGACAUACACGAUUCCCGCAUGGGGGUCCGUGGAGAAGCUAUGAUGCGGACUUUGGAUGGCACUCUCCGCCUAUCAUCUAGUUGGUUGGGGUAAUGGCCCACCAAGGCGACGACACGGUAGCCGGCCUGAGAGGGUGACCGGCCACACUGGCGCACUGAUACACGGCACCAGACUCCUACUGGAGGCAGCAGUAGCGAAUAUUACUCAAUGGCAGAAAACGUGAUCCAGAGCCACCGAGUGAGGGAGGAAGACGUUGGCGUUGUAAACGUAUUUUUGCAGGGAAGAAGAGAAAGAAUCGGUACAUGCAGAAAAAGAGCAGGGUAUAUAUGUGCCAGCACACGCGGUAAUAUGUAGGGGGCAAAAGUUAUCUCGAAUUAUUGGGGGUAAAGAGGUCGUAGAGGGUUUGUUGCAUGUGGUGAGAAAAAUCGGGGGUCUACCCCCGGUAUGCAGUGUGUAAGGGCAGUCCAGAGAGCAUUAGAGAAGCAAGGAAUUUUUGUUGUAGAGGUGAAAUAUGCAGAUAUCAGGAGGAACACAGCUGGGGAAGACAGGUCUUUGGGCUGUAAAAGACGCUGAGGAGCGAAAGCAUGGGGAGAGCACACAAUUAGAUACCCUGGUAGUCCAUGCAGUAAAGGUUGGGCAUUAGGUGUGGGGGACAUUCCAUGUUUUCCGCGCUGUAGUUUACGCAUUAAGUGCCCCGCCUGGGGAGUACGCCGGCAAGGCUAAAACUCAAAGGAAUUGACGGGGGCCCGCACAAGCGGCGGAGCAUGCGGAUUAAUUCGAGGCAACGCGAAGAUCCUUACCAAGGCUAGACAUGAACAGGAAAGACCCGGUAACAGGUCCCCCACUUGUGGCCGGUUUACAGGUGGUGCAUGGUUGUAGUCAGCUCGUGUCGUGAGACGUUGGGUUUAGUCCCGCAAUGAGAGCAACCAUGGUUCUAUUUAUCCUGUGGGUUAUGCCGGGGAUUCUUACGAGACUGCCGGGGUCCAUUCGGAGGAAGGUGGUGAGGAGGUCAAAUCUUCAUGCCCAAUAUAUCUUGGGUUUCCCGCAGAUUCCAACGACCGGCACAAAGGGUUGUGAUCAGUUGAGGUGGAGCUAAUUCCAACAAGCCGGUGUCAGUUUGUAUUGAGGUAUUCAACUCGUCCUCAUGAAGUUGGAGUGGGUAGUAAUCGCAGAUCAGCAACGAGGCGGUGAAUAAGUUCCCGGCCCUAGCACACACCGCCC
rnacentral:rRNA from 1 species